AUACGGAGGGUGCAAGCGUUACUCGGAAUCACUGGGCGUAAAGCGCGCGCAGGCGGGCUGAUAAGUUGGAUGUGAAAGCCUACGGCUCAACCGUAGAACUGCAUCCAAAACUGUCAGUCUAGAGUGUGGGAGAGGAAGAUGGAAUUAGUUGUGUAGGGGUAAAAUCCGUAGAGAUAACUAGGAAUACCAAAAGCGAAGGCAAUCUUCUGGAACACUACUGACGCUGAGGCGCGAAGGCGUGGGGAGCAAACAGGAUUAGAGACCCUAGUAGUCC
rnacentral:rRNA from 1 species